ensembl:lncRNA
AGCCAUGACAAGUUUGCCAGAACUUGUUCACCGCCUGAAGACACCUGGGUAGUCCCUUAUAAGCUCAUCAAGCAUGCAGACACGUGAGAGACCGGGCGUGUGUAUCGCCAGAGGAGCGAAAAAUCGUUCCAGCAUGGGCCCCUACCACCCCAAGGACGCACAUCUACACCACAACACCCUGUGGAUUGCAGCCCUGGAGGAUGGAGCAGGCACAGUACUCCAAGGCACUAGAUAGGUACUCCACGCCACAAUGUAGAGGAUGGCUACAUAGAACAUUUGGAGAAGAUCAAGCGGCUGACUUAAGAGAAGGUCGAGCUGAGGGCACAGAUGGCUCUACAAUCAGGUAAAAAAAUCAGGUCUUUUCAUUUCAUUUGUCUUGAAUGUCUUGCAAUUCUCAAAAUCAUUUCAGACCAUUUAAGUACAAUAUCUGAGUACUUGUCACGGUGCGGUGAGGAUCAG